rnacentral:rRNA from 1 species
GAUGAACGCUGGCGGCGUGCCUAACACAUGCAAGUCGAGCGAAGCGGGGACGGGGGAGUAACAUGUGGAUAACCUCCUAUAAAACUGGGACUACCUCGGGAAACCGGAGCCAAUCCGGCAACUCAGAGAUGGAUCCGUGCUGCAUUAGCUAGUUGGUACGGUAACGGCUUACCAAGGCAACGACGCGUAGCCGACCUGAGAGGGUGAUCGGCCCCACUGGAACUGAGACACGGUCCAGACUCCUACGGGAGGCAGCAGUAGGGAAUCUUCCGCAAUGGGCGAAAACCUGACGGAGCCACGCCGCGUGAGUGAUGAAGGUCUUCGGGUCGUAAAGCACUGUUGUUAGGGAAGCGGUACCUGCACAAUAAGCCCCGGCUAACUACGUGCCAGCAGCCGCGGUAAUAC